UACGCUGCUCUCUCCCUUCGCUCGUCUUUCUUCUUCAGCUCUUCUUCAACGACGUGCGUCUUCUUCGCCAUUGAAGGUCCAAAUCUUCUUCUUCAUCAUUGAAGGUCUGGCUCUUCUUCAACGACGCUCAACACGGUUCUAGUUGUUUGAUUCACGUUUCCUUUCAUCUUCUUCAAGCAAUUGAAGUAAAACGCCCCUCAAAGCCUCUCUCUCAAUCCUCUGCGUAUUCCAGAAGCUUCUGCUCUGCUGAUCGGCGCCAGAAUCCGCUGCUCACCUUGCCACAUCCAGUGCUCUUCGGAUCACGAUGUUCUCGCGCGCUUGAGCUUCGAAUCCGUGUGCUCCAUCAAACCUUCGACAACUUGGAGCGUUGGAGCUUUCGGUUUUCAUUGAGCGUGGUUACACGUACAUACUCACUCAUCAAUCAAAUAGUUUCAGCAAUCAGCUACAAACGAAUUUCAGCAAUCAGCUACAAACGAAUAGGUUUCUGUAAAAGCAUUCAUUGUCAAGAGUGUUAAGCUGAAGAAGUUAUGGCUCGAAGAUUUCUUAAAUAGAAGAGAAAGUGGAUAUUGACAAGCAUCUGACUUUGAAUGUUUGUUCUUGAUACUUUCUGAACAUUAGACUUGUUCUUUGGUUACUUGUAGUAGCUAUUCAAGUAGCUAAACAUCAGACUUUGAAUGUUUGUUCUUGAUAUUGUCUGAAUAUUGGACCUUUGGUAACUUGUAGUAGAUAUCCAAGUCGCUUUUUGUGGCACAAUGUUAUUUGAUUACUUGUUGUAGUAGCUAUCCAAGUAGCUUUUUGUGGCACAAUUUAUCCUAACGUGUCAUGGGAAGAUAGAGACAUUAGUACUAAACUAUGAAAUGUUUAGCUCAUGUACUGCAUGGGACAUCUUUAUCAUUCAAACAGGUUGUCUUCAAAGAGUAUGGAAUAUUUGAAGUUCCAGGUCCUUUCAAGUUGAGGGUGACACAAGAAAGAUCGUCUAGUGCAUUUUGAACUUCAUGUUUGACAAUAUCAGUGCUUCUUACUACUGUUGCAAGUUAUGGCUUGGCGCUGCACAACUCUCAGCUCUUUAGAGUUGAGCUUCUCUUACCAUAAGCUUAAGCUCGUCAUUGAACUCUCUGCUUCAAGCUCUGAUAUCAAAGUAUCCUGUGGGAGAAUAGAAAAACUCAUGAGGACCCUCCGUGGGGAUGUUGCGGUGCAAUAGCUAUGUUUGUCCAUGGAGAAUUGAUCAAUUUCCUUAUCUACAGGACAUAAAUUCUGGGUAUGGUCCUUCGUGGUGUCCAUGCGCAAUUCAGGAUAACUUGCAAAGAGCCGCACGAGAGGCGCAUCCAUAUGAAGAGAGCCAAAUGUAUUGAAGCGAUUAAUGAGAUCGUUUUGACUUGCUCCUGUAACCGGAAAUCAUGUUCAUUUUCAGGAAAAAAAA